AGAUAUUCUUAAAUCUUUCUAAAUCUGUAUUCUAAUUUCUAUUUUGUCAGAUGAUGUAUUUAAUUCAGGUCAUCCAUUAACAAAGAUACAAACUAUAUUAAGUAGGAUUAUUAAUAUAUUUUUUACAGCUCAACUAUUUUGCUUUAAAUAUCGCAAUUCCUUUUUUUUUUUAAUUUCCAAUUCACUAAUUAGCAAAAAAUUAUAAUAAUGACGCUCAUGCUGGUAAGUAUAAUACCUG